rnacentral:ncRNA from 1 species
CUGAGCAACUUGCAAGGGUUGCUGAUCGCCGUGCAGGAGUCAGCAGCGGGCAUAGUAGGGCGGCGACGCCUGACGGCC